rnacentral:rRNA from 1 species
AAGUCGUAACAAGGUUUCCGUAGGUGAACCUGCGGAAGGAUCAUUACAGAAAGUAAACGCGGAUCAAACCGCGAACUUCUUAAACCUUUGACGAUCGACUCAUGUUGCCUCGGUGGGUUCGCCCGCCGGAGGAUACAUCAAAACUCCUGUUUUAACGGUGUUGUCUGAGCUACAAGCAACGAAUCAAAACUUUCAACAACGGAUCUCUUGGUUCUGGCAUCGAUGAAGAACGCAGCGAAAUGCGAUAAGUAGUGUGAAUUGCAGAAUUCAGUGAAUCAUCGAAUCUUUGAACGCACAUUGCGCCCCUUGGUAUCCCGAGGGGCAUGCCUGUUCGAGCGUCAUUUCACCCCUCAAGCCUGGCUUGGUGUUGGGCGACGUCCUCUUUGGGGACGCGUCUCAAAACGCUCGGCGGCGUGGCACCGGCUUUAAGCGUAGCAGAGUCUUAUCUUUCGCUUUGAAAGUCGGGGCCACAUCUGCCGGAAGACCUACUCGCAAGGUUGACCUCGGAUCACGUAGGGAUACCCGCUGAACUUAA